rnacentral:misc_RNA from 1 species
GAUCAAUUUACUUUUAAUAUAAUUUUAAUUAUUCUUCUAUAAUAAUACACUCGAUUCUUUAAAGAAAAAUAAUAUACUAGAUGUAACAUAUAUAUUAGAAAAGAAUGCAUGAGAAUGCUUUGUAGAACAAUUGGCAAUCAGUACUAUUAAAUCGGCUUCAGUCAUGGGUUCGAUUCCCACAUAUAGCAAAUGCAAUUUCUUUUUUAAAGUAAGCUAAUCUGCCUGUUGAGAUCCGACCAGGUCAACCAGUUCACUAGUUAACCAGCCUAUCCAAGCGGAUGAGAUCUGAUUUUCAAAAUAAGAGGGUUUAAGCUUGAACCAAACCAAUUACUAGUCUGGUUCCCAGUUAAACCGGUCUGGUUGUGAUAACAGUGGCCAAAAAGCACUACCACUAAACUUGAAAUUUGUUGAUCUACCAAAAUCCAAUAUUGACACACUAGGAAGUUUUCAGAAUUAGCAUUGAUGGUAAUAACUAGUUGCAAAAUCUCAUCGAACUAGCACAACUAGGAUCACAAACCUUCCAUUUUCAUUUUCAGCACUACCACUCUCUUAUUAUCUUUUUCUCAAAAAAAAAGUUGCAUCUACAUCUAUUUCAAGAUCUAUGGCAAAAGAAAAAAAAAAAUCAUUAACUGACUUGAGAACUAAAUAAUGCUCCUUUAAUUCUGAAAGAUAAGGAAUAUGAUAAAGAUAUUGAUAUUGAAGAUGAGUAUUAAUAGGAUG